CUCCCGAGUAGCUGAGACUACAGGUAUCUGCCACCACUCCAGGUUAAUUUUUUCUAUUUUUAGUAGAGACGGAAUUUCACCAUGUUGACCCAGCUGGUUUUGAACUCCUGACCUCAGGUGAUUCACUUGCCUUGGCCUCCCAAAGUGUUGAGAUUACAGGCAUGAGUCACUGCACCCAGCCAAAAAUGUUUUUUUAGGCAAUGCAUGCACAAACAUUUAGAGGCCAAGUGUGUCAUGAUGUCUGCAACUUUCAAUGUUCAGCAAAAAUCAACAUGGAGAGAGAAAGAGGGCACACAUGUGGCAAAAUAUUAGCCAUUGUACAAUUGGUAAAUCUAGAUGACAGUACACAGGUGUUUGUUGUAUUAUUCUUUGAACUUUUCUGUAGAUUUGGAAAUGUUCUGCGUAGAGAGAAAUCUUUUUUUAAAAAAACAAUAUCUGGUUUUGAUUAAUGAGGCUAUAUUCAAAAGAAACACUAAAUGAUGUGGCCAGUUAGUGAGAAUGUAGCCUUAUCUUUACUGACCUCAUUUUAAUAUUCCUACUCUGGCUGGGCAUGGUGGCUCACGCCUAUAAUCCCAGCACUCUGGGAGGCCGAGACGGGUGGAUCACCUGAGGUCAGGGGUUCGAGACCAGCCUGGCCAACAUGGUGAAACCCCAUCUCUACUAAAAAUACAAAAAUUAGCUGGGUGUGGUGGUAGGCGCCUGUAAUCCCAGCUACUCGGGAGUCCGUGGCAGGAGAAUCGCUUGAACCCAGGAGGUGGAGGUUGCAGUGAGCUGAGAUCACGCCAUUGCACUCCAGCCUGGGUGACAAGAGCAAAACUCAGUCUCAAAAAAAAAAAAGAAAAAAAAAGAUAUAUAUAUUCCUACUCUUAUUAAAUGAAUAUAGCAUUUCUUAGCAACUUCUUUUGAUUUGUGAGUAUAUAUUUUCUUGGCCUCAAAAUUAAAGUAAAAAGUAUCCUCUUACUCAGAGGAGGACAGGGGCAAGAGCCUGGGACCUUAUUUGCUAAUUAAAAUGCACACACACACACACACACACAGAAAUUUUGAGAGCCAUUUUAAUAUAAUUGCCUCCCUAGAAACAUACCUUUUAGGGAAUUUUUAUCACUAAACCACAUGUUAUUUAAAUACGUACAUGUUUAACAUAAAUACAUACAUAAAAUUCACAUGCAUACUUAACACUUAUGUUAAAUAUAUUCAAUGUAUAUACAUAUGUACACAAUAUAUGCAUAUAUACAUGUGGGUAUGUGGUAUGUGUGCAUGUGUGUGUAUGGCCAGCUACAUAAUUUGUGGGACUAAGGGCAAAAUGAAACUGUACGGCCCUCGUUCAAAAAUUAGGUGUGGGGUGCUUCUAAGCACAGUCUUGUGCAACUGCACAGGUUGCAUGUCCAUGAAGCCAUCCUGUGUGUGUGCACAUAUGUGUAUGAAUAUGUAUUUUAUAUAAUACAUAUAUAUGCAUGUAUGUAUCUGAGAAGAAAUGUUUAAAAGGCUACAUACAAGCUUUUCCAGGUCUCUACUAUCUGUUAACUAACUAGAGACAUAACUCACAAUAUGCAGUCCCCACUGAGUGUUCACCAUAAUUUGAGAUUCUUGGCAUGUUAACUUUUCAUUAUGGAAUAUUGAAUAAUUUCAAUAUUAUUCAUACAUUUCUUUAUGUUCAAACAUACACAAAAAUAGAAUAAUGAAACUCUACCCAUCACCCAGCUGCAACAAAUAUCAAUACUUUACCGUUCUUAAUACAUCUAACCCCUUACUUUUUGUUUGUUUCUUUUGGUGAAGUAUUUAAUUGUAAUUUUUUUUUUAAGAGACAGGAUCUCACUCUGUCACCCAGGCCAGAGUACAGUGGUACGAUCACAGCUCCUUGUAACCUCGAACUCCUAGGCUCAAGUGAUCCUCCUGCCUCAGCCGCUUGAAUAGCUGGGACUACAUGCAUACACCAACACACCCAACUAAUUUUUAAAUUUUUUGUAGAAAUAUGGUCUUGCUGUGUUUCCCAGGCUGGUCUCAAACUCCUGGCCUUGAGAGAUUCUCCUGCCUUGGUCUUCCAAACUGCUGGGAUUACAAUAUCCGGCCCUACUGGAAUAUUUUAAAGUAAAUCUCAGGUGUUACAUCAUUGCACUUGUAAGUACUUUAAAAUGUAUCUCUAGCAGAUAAAUCUUUUUAACAAAACCACAGCAUCAUUGUCACACUCAAAAAAUUGACAAGAUUUCCUUAAUUAUCAUAUAAUAGUCUGUAUUGUUUCUAUCUCAAAAAUACAGUUUUCUUGGUUGUUGAAAUCUAGAUCCAACAUUGCAUUUGGUUGAUGUGUCUCCUUUACUCUGUAAAAUUUACCCCUGCGUUUUAGUUCUUUUCGGCUUUUAUUUGUCCUGUGGAAUUUCCUCCACUCAGGAUUUGACUGAGAGUAUCCCCAGAGUGUCCAGUUAGACCUAGAAGCUGGAUUUGAUCCUGGUUCAUUUAUUUUCCCCCAAGAAUACUCCAUAGGUGAUGCUAUACACUUUCUCUUACAUCAUUUCAGGAGGAACAUGAUGUCUGAUUGUUCCACUUUCAGUGAUUUUAAUAUUGAUCAAUGAGUUCUGGUGGUACCAACUACUACAAAGUUUCUCAUCAAUCUUUCACCUGAUGGUUUUAGCAGCUAUUGAUAAUUGUUGCCUGGAUCCAUUAUUUCAUUUCAGGGGUUGUAAAAUAGUGAUUUUCUGGUUCUAUCAAACCUCUUGCAUUUAUCAUCUAUGAUUCUUCUUUAAGGAACUUUCUCUAAAUCUGAAUGGGAAAGAUGCGAUAAAUAUUUAUCAAAUUUUAGAGUGAGUUAGUGCCCUAGCAACCUCCACAGUUGACAAAUGAGUAUUUCUUUAAAGCAAGGUAUGGCCCAACCAAUACUUUGAAACUAGCAUGUUUAGAAUAGAGCAGGAGGAAACUAUAUUUGAAAGGUCAGAAGUGGAAAGACUAAGAGGGCCUGAACAAUAAGAGGACAGAACCAAGAGGAGUUGGCAACUAAUUGGAUGUGGGGAUUAAGGAAAGGUAAGCAUCAAAGAUUACCUCCAAGUUUGUUAGAAGGUUAGUAGCAGGAUUCUGAUGCCAUUCAAGUAAAUACAAGUCUCAGUCAGAUGAACCCCAAGAGCCACAUGUAUUUGAGGGGUACUUUGUCUCACACUUUUACCUGUUACAUGGUUUUCAGUAAUUUAGAAUUUAAGCCAGUAGUGGGGCGACUGUACAUCUAUCGACAUGGUGAGGUAGAGCAUGUUUGGGAGGAAAGACGUUGAAUCCCAUUUGGUGACAGUGAGCUUGAGGUGCUGCCAGAACACUGCACUGAAGAUAGGAGGAGACUGUAGGAAAUACAAGAUAGGAAAGGUCUCCACUGAAAUGUUAACUCUUUCUCUCUAAACGGCCAUCCAGGCCUCAAUGUCUGCAGUUUCUGAUCUGUGAUUAUGACUUAUCCAAAUCUUACAUUUCUUAAAAAUAGUCAUAGAUGAAGGGAAUCACAGUUGAUAGUUAUAUGGUGACAUUAUUGGCUUAAAUUCUAAAUAACUAGAAACUGUAUAAUAGGCAAAACUGUGAGGCAAAUAAAAUGCUUCUCAAAUCUGUGUGGCUCUUAUGGGGUUAAUUUGAUUUGGACCUGUAUUAAUUUCUUAUGGCUGCUAUAACUAACAAAUUACCACAAACUUGGUGGUUUAAAACAACACACAUUUAUUCUCUUUCUGUUCUGGAGGCCAGAAGUCUAAAAUGAGAUUCACUGGGCUGCAGUUCACUGGGCAAGGCCAUGCUCCUCUGGAGGCUUCCAUGAUGCAUCCCAUAUUCAGUGUUUCCCGAGUAAGCCCCACCCAUGCAGGUCUGCAGUUUUACCUCAACAGGCUUUUGCACUCAGUGGCUCUCUCCUGUGGUUUCUAUCUGAAAUUCUCUUCAUUUUUUUUUUAAUAACUGCUUUAUUGAGAUAUAAUUCACAUGCCAUACAAUUCACCUAUACAGUAUACAAUUCAGUAGUGUUUACUAUAUUCAGAGUUGUGCAACUAUCAUUUUUCUCACCCCCAAAAGAAACCCUAUGCCCGUUAGUAUUCACUCUGUUUUCUCACAACUCUAGGUAACCACUAAUCUACUCUCCAUCUCUAUAGAUUUGCCCAUGCUAGACAUUUCAUAUAAAUGGAAUCAUACAUGUGGUCUUUUUCACUGAGUAUAUUUUCAAGGUGCAUCCCAGCUGUGGCAUGAAUCAGCAUCUCAUUCCUUUUUAUUGCCAAAUAAUAUUCUAUCAUAUGGAUAUGUCGCAUUUUAUGUAUCCAUUCAUCAGCUGAUGGACAUUUGGGUUGUUUGUACUUUUUGGCUACCAUGAAUAAUGCUACUAUGAACUUUUGUGUACAAAUCUUAUGUGGACUUGUUUUCAUUUCUCUUGGAUGUAUAUUCCUAGGAGAAUGGCUGGAUUAUACAGUAACUCUUUCCUCAUAACUUUGCAUAUCAAAAUUAUAUCCAUCUUUCAGAACCCAAAUUCAGUGUUAUUUCCAAAGUGUUCCAACAUCUCCCACUCAAAAUGAAUCUUCUCCCUAGUACUCCCAUUGUUUAGUACCUAAUUGUUCUUACCAGUUUGUCUUAGAGCUCAGUCAUUCCUACACAGCACUUUUCUUCAUUAUACUGCUAAUUUCAUUACACUGUAAGAGUGGGGACAAGCUGUUCUUCUUGUAUACCAGAAAGUAGUGAGUGCACUGCUGUGAAGAAAGCAGGAACUCAAAAGUUAAGAAUUUUGAAUGAGCCUAUAAAAUGUGUCUAAUAAAUAAUAAUGUUCAUUUUCAAAUCUCAACAAUUAAAUGUUUAACAAAUAACACUUGAAAUAAAUGUUUAUUAGAAAAACCAA
rnacentral:lncRNA from 1 species